rnacentral:lncRNA from 1 species
GCUUAUUAAUAAUCAUUAUCUAGUCCAAAGUCAGUUGUUGUGGUUACAUUAGAUGUUGCGUUGAAUCUACCAUGAGUUACUCUUAAAAAUUCAAUCGGGAGGUGAAAAGGCAUUACAAUAAUAGAUUCUAGCAAAGAAAUUAUAAUAUGGGAGAUAUGAAAGGCAAUCUCAAAUGGAGGCUCAAAUAUAAUACUUCUUAGGCCAAAUAGCUACUUUUUAAGGACAAAUAGAAGCCUUGAGGACAAAAAAGUUGACAUCUAUUAAGUUGAAAUUGAGUAAGCCUAAUACAUACUCUAAGACUUUAAGAUAAGAAGAUGUAUAUCAAUUGUUCUUUAACAUGCAACAAUACCUCCAACUAUUAAGGACAAAUACCACUGAAAGAAUUAUAUAUGUUAGCUAUUUGAGAGAUACGGCAAUCAUUUAGCGGCAACAUUGAAUUCAAAGCUAUAGAGUAUAAGGUGGAUUUUGUGACUGGGAGGAGUUUGAGACCAAAUUUACCAA